rnacentral:rRNA from 1 species
UACGUAGGGUGCAAGCGUUGUCCGGAAUUAUUGGGCGUAAAGAGCGUGUAGGCGGCCCGAUUAGUCCGCUGUGAAAGUCCAGGGCUCAACCCUGGAAUGCCGGUGGAUACUGUCGGGCUAGAGUCCGGAAGGGGCGAGUGGAAUUCCUGGUGUAGCGGUGAAAUGCGCAGAUAUCAAGAGGAACACCGGUGGCGAAGGCGGCCUGCUGGGCAGUAGCUGACGCUGAGGCGCGACAGCGUGGGGAGCGAACAGG